rnacentral:pre_miRNA from 1 species
AUAUGACUGUCCUGGGGAUCUUGUUAACAUGCAGGUUCUGAUUCAGUCAGUCUGGGUGGGCCUGAGAUUCUGCAUUCCUAACAAGCUCCCAGGGGAGUGGACC